UGCCUGUUGGAACUGGGAGGUAGCAGGUUGCUUUCUAUAGGCACAGCAUGAGGCACAUCUGCAAGUAUAUGGCUGAGCAGAACUUACUACAGCAGAUGCCUGGUACCUUGUAUGGUGCUGCUCUUCCAGGACAGAGGCUGGAAUACUCAGCAGAGAACACACAUCAAUUCUGGUGGAAAGCGGAGAUACCUACAGGCAAUAGUUAUGGAAGAUCUGAGCUCAUCCAUUUCCACUUGCCUGUUGUCAAGGCUCCAUAGAAGAAUGAUAGCAUAGAUCUGUUUUCUGCUGUAGGCUAGGUCCCUCAUCUGCCAUGCUAGAAGAACUUCUCUGUAAUAUACUAGAUUAACUUUCCCUUUACCACUUUGACACACAUAAGUGGUAAUCUAUAAUGUAGAUUGAACUGCAAUUUAUGCAUCCCCAAAAGGGGAAUAUACUGCAUUAAAUAGUUAUUGGCCUCUUCUGUGCCUUUUAUUCCUGCAGAUGGCUGAGCUCUCACUGAGGAAGGGAGAGGGAUUUUGCUGAGGUUUGUGGUUUAUUUGCAAGCCUGCUCCCUUCUGCACCAUAGAACAGUGGAGACCAUAAGCUCAUCCACACCAGCUGUGAGUGCAGGAUGCACCACCCUGCCCAGGACAUCCUCCUGCACUCGGGCCAACAGGCUCACCUGGAACCAGGAAGAGUGCCAGAGGCAACACCUGGGAUUACUGCGAAGGCAGGUCCACAACCAGGAGCAGUGGGUGCAUGAAGACCUGCAGCUGUGGCAGGAGAGCUUGCAGGAGCUGCUUGACCAGGGAGGUGCCAUCCACGGCCACCUGCAGACCCUGGUGCAGAGACUGCUGCCUGCU